CUUAAUUUUUUUGGCGGUUUAUUAUUCUGUCACAGGAAUUUGUUUUUUUAAUAGAUACCCCGCUUUUAUGCUUUCCUUUGUUUAAUUUUAUGUACGGCUGUUUUUAUUUUAGCUUAGAUGCUUUUAUGGGUAAACUAUUUUAUUUAUUUCAGGUCAAUGUGUAGAGCAUAAAAAGGAGAAAAAUGAGUUACGUUAUUAGGAAAAAAGUUUUAAUUUUUUUAAGAAUUUGGAUGUGUUAGUAAAUUAAAGAUAAAAUUUUUAAUUGAAAGGGUCCUAAUAAAAGUACAUAUCGCCCGUCACUCUUGUGUAUAG
rnacentral:rRNA from 1 species